UCUUGGUAUGGUAGAGCACAUCUGCCCUCCCGGGGAGGAGGAGGCUGAGUUUGGCUGAUCCUUUGAGCUCAGGAAUUCUGAGCUGCAUUGGGCCGUCAAUCAGUUGUCUGAACUAAGUUUCCCAUUAAUACGGUGAGUCUCUGGGAGCAGAGAGCCCCCAGGUUGCCUAAAGAGUUAUGGAUAGGCCCAGGCUGGAAACAGUAGGUCAAAGCUUCCAUGUUUAUCAAAGAAGGAUCCAGCCUGUGAGUAGCCUUUGCAUUUCCAGCCUGACCAAAGUAGGGAAACCCGGUUUUU
rnacentral:SRP_RNA from 1 species